UAGACAUAGGUUGACCCACCGGCCAACAAUCAAACAAGAACAUGACCGACGGACGACCCACAACAAGGGUUGGAGAUGAAAGGCCAACCGCCCAGCCAACAAUCAAACAAGAACAUGACUGACCGUCCAACCCAACACCAUGGUCCGAAAGCGCUAUGUGACGGGCUAGGGAUGAUUCGGUCAGAGUCACAAAAAUUACUCCAUGACCUAGACAAGUUCAUCCACUAAGUGGUGCCACUGCGUCAAGGCACAAGGCUUUGCAACCCGUACCUAGAGUUAGCGUUUUCCGUUAGAUCGAGGCCUAAGGCUUUUCAACCUGUAUAACGACCUAACGUUGUGUUAGACCGGACUAGUCAAAUAUCAGAGUACUCAUGAAGUGCAUAUAAAACAAUUACUUUUAUUGAUUUAGGAAAUAUUCAUACAUUGAAUAAUUCAAGACUGAGCCCGGCCUAAUGCCAAAUCGAGUCAACUAAACACAAUCUCAAUAUAUACCGUUUACAAAAGGCAUGAAAUCUACACCGGCGGUCCUAACGUCCAGCACCAAGGUAUCCGAUCAUCAGUACUCAUGUAGUGUUAAGACACUUAGACUAAACAAGUACCAUUAACCGGUCGACCAACAAUCAGACAAGAACAUGAUCGGCCAACCAAUGAUACCGCAUAGCUUUAAUAUCCACCACCCUUCACAAGCAAUCCCUCAAACACAUACAUGCCAACGUCAAACCUACACUAACCAAAUACACACCAAGCCUAAUCUGGUACCUAAGCCAGACUUAGGACUUAAUGUCAUAACCUGCAAGCAAAUCAAUCAACCACAAUCACAAUAAUAACUAUGAGUAACUAUGACUCGAUCUAAGUCGUACCACCGUAUAUCGGUGCUAUAUUUACUCAAGGGUUCAGUAACCCUCUACGACACUCUAC
rnacentral:lncRNA from 1 species